UACGAAGGGUGCAAACGUUGCUCGGAAUCAUUGGGCGUAAAGCGCACGUAGGCGGCUUCGCAAGUCGGAUGUGAAAUCCCAUGGCUCAACCAUGGACGUGCAUUCGAAACUGCGAAGCUUGAGUAUGGAAGAGGGUCGCGGAAUUCCCGGUGUAGAGGUGAAAUUCGUAGAUAUCGGGAGGAACACCAGUGGCGAAGGCGGCGACCUGGGCCAAUACUGACGCUGAGGUGCGAAAGCGUGGGUAGCAAACAGG
rnacentral:rRNA from 1 species